rnacentral:rRNA from 1 species
CGUUACGGCCAUACCAACCUGGCUAUGCCCGAUCUCGUCUGAUCUCGGAAAGCUAAGCAGGUUUGGGGCCUGGUUAGUACUUGGAUGAAGACCGCCUGGGAAUACCAGGUGCUGGUGAGC